AGAGUUUGAUCCUGGCUCAGAACGAACGCUGGCGGCGUGGAUAAGACAUGCAAGUCGAACGGGAUUACUUUUGUAGCAAUACAGAAGUAAUUCAGUGGCGAACGGGUGCGUAACACGUGGGCAAUCUGCCGAAAAGUGGGGGAUAGCUCGCCGAAAGGCGAAUUAAUACCGCAUGUGGUGAGGGACGACAUCUUCCUGAAUCCAAAGCCGGGGCAACCUGGCGCUUUUUGAGGAGCCCGCGGCCUAUCAGCUAGUUGGUGAGGUAACGGCUCACCAAGGCUAUGACGGGUAGCUGGUCUGAGAGGACGACCAGUCACACUGGAACUGAGACACGGUCCAGACACCUACGGGUGGCAGCAGUCGAGAAUUUUUCUCAAUGGGGGAAACCCUGAAGGAGCGACGCCGCGUGGAGGAUGAAGGCUUUCGGGUUGUAAACUCCUGUCAUUUGGGAACAAGGUGCACACGUUAACUGCGUGGGUAUUGAUAGUACCAGAAGAGGAAGGGACGGCUAACUCUGUGCCAGCAGCCGCGGUAAUACAGAGGUCCCAAGCGUUGUUCGGAUUCAUUGGGCGUAAAGGGUGCGUAGGUGGCGCCGUAAGUCGGGUGUGAAAUUUCGGAGCUUAACUCCGAAACUGCAUUCGAUACUGCGGUGCUUGAGGACUGGAGAGGAGACUGGAAUUCAUGGUGUAGCAGUGAAAUGCGUAGAGAUCAUGAGGAAGACCAGUGGCGAAGGCGGGUCUCUGGACAGUUCCUGACACUGAGGCACGAAAGCCAGGGGAGCAAACGGGAUUAGAUACCCCGGUAGUCC
rnacentral:rRNA from 1 species